UGGGGAAUAUUGCACAAUGGGCGCAAGCCUGAUGCAGCCAUGCCGCGUGUGUGAAGAAGGCCUUCGGGUUGUAAAGCACUUUCAGCGGGGAGGAAGGCGAUAAGGUUAAUAACCUUGUCGAUUGACGUUACCCGCAGAAGAAGCACCGGCUAACUCCGUGCCAGCAGCCGCGGUAAUACGGAGGGUGCAAGCGUUAAUCGGAAUUACUGGGCGUAAAGCGCACGCAGGCGGUCUGUCAAGUCGGAUGUGAAAUCCCCGGGCUCAACCUGGGAACUGCAUUCGAAACUGGCAGGCUAGAGUCUUGUAGAGGGGGGUAGAAUUCCAGGUGUAGCGGUGAAAUGCGUAGAGAUCUGGAGGAAUACCGGUGGCGAAGGCGGCCCCCUAGACAAAGACUGACGCUCAGGUGCGAAAGCGUGGGGAGCAAACAGG
rnacentral:rRNA from 1 species